rnacentral:lncRNA from 1 species
UGCAAAAGCUGGAGAGAUGCUAAGCCCUGCGUUGUGCAUGUGCCACCACCCAGUCUAUAAAUAAGUUUCAAACCUAUCGACAAAAACACUGAGACGUUUCUAAAAAAGUCAUUUUUAACUUUCCACAGAUGAAUAAAAGUCAAACAAGUUUGGAGUGACAUGAGGGUGAGUAAAUGAUAACAGAAGUUUUGUUUUUUUCUGUUUGUUCCUACUUCUUAUAUUUAGUCACUGAUAUGAUCCAAUUACCAAAUUCAAUUCAAUUUAAAUCCACAACAAUUAUUCUAAGCAUUAUAACACAAGCUACACUAAAAUUAAAAGUGGGGAAACUGGCCUUAGGUGUGACGCCUUCCUGUGUAGAAAUGGAGAGGGCUCCACCCCAAUGCCAUCAACCCCACCCCAUGAAAACAGCCAGCUACAGGUAGGUGGGAGCUGAAGAACUCACACAGGUGAAAUGUUGCUCGACAGGUCUGAUGGGAAACAAUGCUUACGUACAGUAGCCAGCAGAGAUACUGAAAGACUGACAUCUCUCUCUCUCUCUCUCUCUCUCUCUCUCUCUCAGUCUAGUGUAUAUGGGACGCUGUCACUCUGGAGUUGUCUGCACACUGGAGGGCUGUGUUUCUACUGACCUCUGCAUAUUGGAAUACUUUUCUAUUCUUCCCUUCACACAACACACACACACUAGUUCUCCUCCUUUGGUGUGUAGCCUGCGGUGGUGAGGGCAGACAUGACAGUGUUUGUGUGGACGUGUCGCGUGGACAGUGCAAAGGAGACAUGCUGCAAAAUGGCACGGCUGGUGCCAUCAGCACCACAACCACCACUGAGAUACCAGACCUCAAUGAGAGGAGAAUCAGGCAUCUCAGAUUAACCCUCCGGCCUGAGGACAGUCCUAAAACUCAGAAUGAAUCUGUCAGCUCCGUAAGUAUCACUUUAGCAUUUUUCAGUAAACUUCUUGCAGCCAGACAGAUUGGCGCAAGCCAUCUCUUCAUAAAUAACAGACUUCCUCUUUUCACUGACUUCACACAGUCCUCAAUCUGUUUGGCCAGCACCACAAAUGGCAUGAUGGCCUGAUAACAGGAUAAGCUCAACAAGAUAACAUAAAUGGCUGAUUUCUUUACGUUAUGACAGAUCAGCUAGAGAUGAUCUUGAGCCAAGGUUUUUAACUUGGGCUCUGUGGUCCCUGAAAGAGCUCCGAGGGGUCAGUGGAUAAAGAUGUUUUCUUUAGUCUGUAUGACAUUUUCAGCAAUUUAAAUAUAUUGAACUUUUUAUUUUAAAAAAUGUUUUGCACUUUUUAGAAUACAGUUAUUGUAAACUGUUUUAAUAUUUUACAAUUUUACUGUAUUUUGGAUCAAAUAAAUGCAGCCUUGGUGAGCAUUAAAGACUUCUUGCAAAAACAUGAAAAAAUCUUACUUGGUUGUAAUCUUAAGUAGUAGUAUGGAUAUUUAUUUAUUUAUAUUUACACCGUAUACAGUAUAUGACCAGAUGAUUGGCAAAAGGGAUCAAAAAAUAAACAAUAAUAAUAAUUGUAGGGUUUAAUUAAGGAUUUACCUUUAGGCUUAUCUUUUAAGCGUGCGAAAGAUAGAAUUUCAGAAAGGAAUUUCAGGAACUUUUCAACAUUGUCUUGUCUGUGAAUGUUGGGUCAGUGUUUCAGAGAGAUAAAUCAGAGACUGUUUCCUUCUUUUUGGUCUGUCACUUGGUUUGUGCAUCAUAGGUCCAUACUGCCUAGGCUGUAACAUGUCACUAACCUUUACUGAUAAAAAACAUGCAGAUAUGCCCACAUUCUUUAAAAUGCAGGCAAAGAAUUCAUAGUUAAAUGCCACUUUACUAACUAAGCCAAUAUGUUUAGAAGCAAGUUAGGCUUCAUGCAGAUAAAUAUCUCCUGCCCCCAAAGUUCAGACUCACACGAAACAAGGCUCAUGAAAUUGAGUCACCUAUUUACCAAGGGAGGUAAAGUUAAUUUUAAGCUUGUUUACAUAUACAGGUUAGUCUGUGUGACAAAUUAAUUGGUGUAUUUGACAGUAGUUGCUGUUAGCCUUCUACAGACAGUGGCGUAUGGGGAAAGAAGUCAAGAGAGGUGUGUCUGCAUGUACAUGAGAGGUUUGAUCUGUACUUUGGCCUGGAUCUUGCACCCUGCAGCUCUUAGUCCUUGAAGUUCAACUGAUAUCCGCCCUGUUUGGUCUCUGAUAGGAGCUGCUUUGGGAACAUCAUGCUCUUUCACAACUCAGAUACUAUAUUAUAAUGAGAAGUAUAAAUCCAGGAGCUCUGCCAGCUUAAAACUGUUGAUGGCUUUAUCAGUGUCUGUCUCAUGGGAAGGGCCAGCUGUGGCCAUUUUGCUGUGUGUAGCAUCAAUACACCAAACCCAGGCCUGCCUGAUGAAGAACUGCUAAUGGCCAGUUCGAUUGGGAAUUUCAAGUGAGGGUGAAAGACUACACUACAAUCACACAACACUACCCACAAAGAGUUUGUCAGACAAAUUUGCCAAAAGAAAGCGGCUUCGUUUGACAGUGACCUGUAUGUGAGUGGUACUGUACUUCAUACAUUGCUUCAUUAUUGACUAUGAACCUUUUCUCCCAUUGAAAUUUUGCUGAAAAUUUGCUAAUGUGAUUGCACCUUUAGGAAUUUAGAUAAGCUUCUAAUGAGUUUUCAUUGUCAGCAUAUUUGAGAAUAUUUAAGUUUCAUUAACCUUUAUGUUAAUGUUAAUUGGAUAUGUGUAGAAAAACCUUCCAGGUAUGGAUAUUUGGUAUUUGGGUGAUAGUCAAGGUUUACAUUGGGAUUUUGCAUAGAUUUUGAAUAUAGAGGCCUUUUAUACUGUAUGUAGUCCUUUGCAACAUUAAUAGUGACAUAACUAUACAAAAGUGAAACAAGGUCAAAGGAAGACAAACUAAGGAGAGGGAAAAUGACAGUUUAGUGUAGUGCAAAGACAUUAGAUAUUCUGUUACUGCCAUAACAAAGAACCAAGACAAGAACCCACUGUAAAAUUAAGAUGGGUGUGUGUGUGUGUGUGUGUGUGUGUGUGUGCGAAACCCGAACCUACGUAAAGUUAAAGUAAGUAGGUGGUGUGUGUGUGUGUGUGUGUGUGUGUGUGUGUGUGUGUGUGUGUAAUCCUAUCCUCCAUGGGAUACUAGUCUACUUGUGGCCUGAAUUGCCAGAGUUACACCUGUUGGGUUACAGGAAGAUCUGAAAUUCACAUUGAUCCAUGGCCUGUAUUUCUCAUAAAAGCAUUCAAGUAAUCGGCGCUGGUCUCAGCAAAGCUGGAGUGGGUAGCUGUAUCAACACCUCCAGCUGCAUGCAAACAGAUAUAGCCUACUGUUCUUUAAAACACAGAUGUUAGACUUGAGUUUACACCCUUGAGCAUAUCUUUACACAACAACAAUAAAGCUCAUUGAAUAGUGUUCAAUUCAAUCAGUAAGAUUACAUGAGCAAGGUAGAAUAUGAAACAGGGAAAACACAUGCUUUUAUUACUUGGGCUAAGAUGACAGAUAUAUAGUGCUAUAUUUGUAUAUUAAUAUUGUGCACAGAAAUAUUGUCAAAAUGAGCAUGAAAGUUUAAUGCAGCUGAACUUUGUUAGUGUUGUCUGUCAUUGUAAGGUUAGGCACUUUAGUAGAGGUGCAUAGUAUGCAGAGAAUAAAAUUAUUUCAUUUAAAGAUAUAGUUCACCUAAAAUUGAAAGUUUUGUCCUCUUUUACUCACCUUCAUGUUGCUUCAAAACAGUAAGACUUUGAAACAUUUUAUCAUGUCAUGUAAAACAAAUUUUAUUUUAAAAUUUUAUGCCUUUAUUAACUUUUUUAAGCAUCAGCAUUUUAAUGGAUGGACAGAAUUCUUUAAAUUUUUAAUCUUUUAAUAUGUUAAUUCGUGAACUAAAGUUGUUUGGUUUUGGAGCAACAAGAGGGUGAGUAAAUAAUGAAGCUUUUUUUUGUGAACUAUCCCUUUAAUACUUUAUUAUGAAGUAACCAUUUUUUAAAAGCAAUAAUGCUGCACUGUAAUAUCAGGAUGGCCAGCCCAGAAGGUUAACUCCUCUGUUAGAUUUAUUUGGCUAAAUUAUAUCCCCAAAAUGAUUCACAAAUAUUUCUCCACAUAACUCAUAUCACUACGCAUGAGGUCCUGUUUUCAACAUUUUAAAUGCUCUCUUGUUUGAGUACAUCAAACUUAGUCUCAUGAGCUUGUGUUUUGGUGGAUUAUCUGUCAAUUUCAGUGGAGUCCAGUGCAGAAGGCCAUAAACAACACUGGCAUCAUUAUUCUGUCUUGUCUCCACCCUCUCCCACACAUUGCUCCCCUUCAGUCUGAAUCAGACGGAAACAUUAAUCGUGUUUUCUCAACAUCUCAUUCUAUAUUCUAAUGAAGAGAUAUUCUCAUAUUCGCCCUAAAGGUUGAGACAGAAUUCAGUCUCUGUCAGUGAAGAAGCUGAAGCUCUGUGCUUUAUUUUGGAGAGGAGCGCUGAGGAGGUGUGGUCAUGACAUGAAUGAGAUUACAGUUCUGAGAAACUAUGCCCUGAGAAGAGAAAGGGGAAUACCACACCCUGAG